rnacentral:rRNA from 1 species
ACAUGAAGCUGGAAUCGCUAGUAAUCGCGGAUCAGAGUGCCGCGGUGAAUACGUUCCCGGGUCUUGUACACACCGCCCGUCACACCAUGGGAGUCGGAAAUGCCCGAAGUCUGUGACCUAACCGAGAGGGAGGAGCAGCCGAAGGCAGGUCUGAUGACUGGGGUGAAGUCGUAACAAGGUACC